AUGCUCACUUUGACAGCACUUACAGUAAAACUGGAAUGAUACAGAGAAGAUUAUCACCGUCCCUGCACAAGGAGGACACACAAAUUCAUGAAGCGUUCCAUAUUCCU
rnacentral:snRNA from 1 species